rnacentral:rRNA from 1 species
UAUUAACUCUGGCGGCGUGCCUAAUACAUGCAAGUCGAGCGAACGGACGAGAAGCUUGCUUCUCUGAUGUUAGCGGCGGACGGGUGAGUAACACGUGGAUAACCUACCUAUAAGACUGGGAUAACUUCGGGAAACCGUAGCUAAUACCGGAUAAUAUUUUGAACCGCAUGGUUCAAAAGUGAACGACGGUCUUGCUGUCACUUAUAGAUGGAUCCGCGCUGCAUUAGCUAGUUGGUAAGGUAACGGCUUACCAAGGCAACGAUGCAUAGCCGACCUGAGAGGGUGAUCGGCCACACUGGAACUGAGACACGGUCCAGACUCCUACGGGAGGCAGCAGUAGGGAAUCUUCCGCAAUGGGCGAAAGCCUGACGGAGCAACGCCGCGUGAGUGAUGAAGGUAUUCGGAUCGUAAAACUCUGUUAUUAGGGAAGAACAUAUGUGUAAGUAACUGUGCACAUCUUGACGGUACCUAAUCAGAAAGCCACGGCUAACUACGUG